UACGUAGGGUCCGAGCGUUGUCCGGAAUUAUUGGGCGUAAAGCGCGUGUAGGCGGUGAUGCAUGUCGGGUGUGAAAGCCCUCAGCUCAACUGAGGAAGUGCGCCCGAAACUGCAUCGCUGGAGUGCCGGAGAGGAAGGCGGAAUUCCCGGUGUAGAGGUGAAAUUCGUAGAUAUCGGGAGGAACACCAGUGGCGAAGGCGGCCUUCUGGACGGACACUGACGCUGAGACGGCGAAAGCGUGGGUAGCAAACAGG
rnacentral:rRNA from 1 species